rnacentral:rRNA from 1 species
CGAGUGGCGGAACGGGGUAGGAGUAACGACGUGAGGGAAACCCGCCUCAAAGAGGGGGACAACAGUUGGAAACGACUGCUAAUACCGCAUAAGCCCACAGUACCGCAUGGUACGGUGUGAAAAACCCAGGUGGUGUGAGAUGGAUCCGCGUCUGAUUAGCCAGUUGGCGGGGUAACGGCCCACCAAAGCGACGAUCAGUAGCCGACCUGAGAGGGUGACCGGCCACAUUGGGACUGAGACACGGCCCAA